UGGCCGCGGGWUAGAGUUUGAUCCUGGCUCAGAUUGAMCSCUGGCGGCAGGCCUAACACAUGCAAGUCGAGCGGAUGAAGGUAGCUUGCUACCUGAUUCAGCGGCGGACGGGUGAGUAAUGCCUAGGAAUCUGCCCGAUAGUGGGGGACAACGUUUCGAAAGGAACGCUAAUACCGCAUACGUCCUACGGGAGAAAGUGGGGGAUCUUCGGACCUCACGCUAUCGGAUGAGCCUAGGUCGGAUUAGCUAGUUGGUGAGGUAAUGGCUCACCAAGGCGACGAUCCGUAACUGGUCUGAGAGGAUGAUCAGUCACACUGGAACUGAGACACGGUCCAGACUCCUACGGGAGGCAGCAGUGGGGAAUAUUGGACAAUGGGCGAAAGCCUGAUCCAGCCAUGCCGCGUGUGUGAAGAAGGUCUUCGGAUUGUAAAGCACUUUAAGUUGGGAGGAAGGGUUGUAGGUUAAUACCCUGCAAUUUUGACGUUACCAACAGAAUAAGCACCGGCUAACUUCGUGCCAGCAGCCGCGGUAAUACGAAGGGUGCAAGCGUUAAUCGGAAUUACUGGGCGUAAAGCGCGCGUAGGUGGUUCAGCAAGUUGGAUGUGAAAGCCCCGGGCUCAACCUGGGAACUGCAUCCAAAACUACUGAGCUAGAGUACGGUAAAGGGUGGUGGAAUUUCCUGUGUAGCGGUGAAAUGCGUAGAUAUAGGAAGGAACACCAGUGGCGAAA
rnacentral:rRNA from 1 species